UGACCACGGAGGUUAAAGUUAUCAACUAGUGAAUGAAUCCUAUGUUGCGUUAAACUGCCUUAAUACCAUGAUAGAAUAAUUUUAUUUGAUAGAUAAUACAUACUACAUUGGAUAACUGUAGUAAUUCCAGAGCUAAUACAUGCAAGUAUGCCUUGACUCUCAGGCUAUCUGUGGCAUUCACUGGAAUAAAACCAAAAGGAAGCGAUUUCAGCCGCCUCUUUUUUAUUCUGUGAUGACUUUGAAUAAUUUCAAUGAUCACAAUUGGAAGUUCCUGUUGUAUCAGUCUGCUAGUAGGUUACCCGUCUACUAAGAUAAUAGUAGGUAUUGGAGAAUCACGGUUUGAUUCCGGAGAGGAAGUCUGAGAAUUGACUACCACAUGCAAGAACAGAGAGAAAGUGACGGAAGAUACGUAUACUCGACUCCGUUAACUCACUGUAAUUCAAAAAGGUACACUUUAAACCCUUUUGACAAGAACCAGCUGGAGCGCAAGCCCGGAGCUAGCAGCCGAUGUAACUUCAACACCAA
rnacentral:ncRNA from 1 species